rnacentral:rRNA from 1 species
CCUACGUGAGGCUGCAGUGAGGAAUAUUGGUCAAUGGACGAGCGUCUGAACCAGCCAAGUAGCGUGAAGGAUGACUGCCCUAUGGGUUGUACACUUCUUUUAUAUGGGAAUAAAACAGGGUAUGCAUACCCUCUUGUAUGUACCAUAUGAAUAAGGAUCGGCUAACUCCGUGCCAGCAGCCGCGGUAAUACGGAGGAUCCGAGCGUUAUCCGGAUUUAUUGGGUUUAAAGGGAGCGUAGGUGGAUUGUUAAGUCAGUUGUGAAAGUUUGCGGCUCAACCGUAAAAUUGCAGUUGAAACUGGCAGUCGUGAGUACAGUAGAGGUGGGCGGAAUGCGUGGUGGAGCGGUGAAAUGCUUAGAUAUCACGAAGAACUCCGAUUGCGAAGGCAGCUCACUGGACUGCAACUGACACUGAUGCUCGAAAGUGUGGGUAUCAAACAGGAUUAGAUACCCCAGUAGUC